rnacentral:rRNA from 1 species
AUCGAACGCUGGCGGCAGGCCUAACACAUGCAAGUAGAGCGGAGCGGCGGACGGGUGAGUAAUGCCUAGGAAUCUGCCUGGUAGUGGGGGAUAACGUCCGGAAACGGGCGCUAAUACCGCAUACUAUCAGAUGAGCCUAGGUCGGAUUAGCUAGUUGGUGGGGUAAAGGCCUACCAAGGCGACGAUCCGUAACUGGUCUGAGAGGAUGAUCAGUCACACUGGAACUGAGACACGGUCCCGCCUCCUACGGGAGGCAGCAGUGGGGAAUAUUGGACAUUGGGCGAAAGCCUGCUCCAGCCAUGCCGCGUGUGUGAAGAAGGUCUUCGGAUUGUAAAGCACUUUAAGUUGGGAGGCGUUACCUACAGAAUAAGCACCGGCUAACUUCGUGCCAGCAGCCGCGGUAAUUC